rnacentral:misc_RNA from 1 species
GAUGAAGAACGCAGCGAAAUGCGAUAAGUAAUGUGAAUUGCAGAAUUCAGUGAAUCAUCGAAUCUUUGAACGCACAUUGCGCCCGCCAGCAUUCUGGCGGGCAUGCCUGUUCGAGCGUCAUUUCAACCCUCAAGCUCUGCUUGGUGUUGGGGCCCUACGGUUGACGUAGGCCCUUAAAGGUAGUGGCGGACCCUCUCGGAGCCUCCUUUGCGUAGUAACUAACGUCUCGCAUUGGGAUUCGGAGGGACUCUUGCCGUAAAACCCCCAAAUUUUCUAAUGGUUGACCUCGGAUCAGGUAGGAAUGCCCGCUGAACUUAAGCAUAUCAAUAAGCGGAGGA